rnacentral:rRNA from 1 species
AGUGAACGCUGGCGGUAGGCCUAACACAUGCAAGUCGAACGGCAGCACAGUAAGAGCUUGCUCUUACGGGUGGCGAGUGGCGGACGGGUGAGGAAUACAGCGGAAUCUACUUUUUCGUGGGGGAUAACGUAGGGAAACUUACGCUAAUACCGCAUACGACCUACGGGUGAAAGCAGGGGAUCUUCGGACCUUGCGCGAUUGAAUGAGCCGAUGUCGGAUUAGCUAGUUGGCGGGGGAAAGACCAACCAAGGCGACGAUCCGUAGCUGGUCUGAGAGGAUGAUAAGCAACACUGGAACUGAGACACGGUCCAGACUCCUAGGGGAGGCAGCAGUGGGGAAUAUUGGACAAUGGGCGAAAGCCUGAUCCAGCCAUACCGCGGGGGUGAAGAAGGCCUUCGGGUUGUAAAGCCCUUUUGUUGGGAAAGAAAAGCAGCAGGUUAAUACCCCGCUGUUCUGACGGUACCCAAAGAAUAAGCACCGGCUAACUUCGUG